AAAGUUUGUAGCUCUAUUAUGAGCAUUAUUUCUUUGAUUUCUAUUUUCUUUCUAGAAUUUUCAUGGGGCUUGUGUUGUUAUUGUCAAGGCUCAAAGGAGAAUAUAUAUUCCUUACAACAACAAAACAAGGAAACUUGCAAAAGCUAAGCCAAGAAAAUAUGGAUGACUUCACUCCAGAGGAGCUUCAUACUUGGAGUGUGUUUUAAGAAACAUGGCCAUCAAAACCAUUAAAGUACGAUUUGUUUAUUGUCCGAAAUGUCAGAAGCUUCUAAUAGAGUUGAUCAAACAUCUGGUGAGCAAAGGGUUUGCCACAUCUUGAUGUUAGAAUAAAGAGGCCAAAUGAUCUUUACUUAAAUGGCCUUAAAGUUGGUGGCAUCCUGUGCACCUCAAUAUAUAAAUCAAAUAAGUUCAAUGUGAGUGCCAGAACAAGAGCAUGUUUCUUCUAUUGAUAAUCUAUUUUUCUUUCUUAGUCAGCAUGGUUGCACAUGCCUAAGUUGGAUUUAUGUUGUGGAGAUGUUUUCCUUGU